rnacentral:lncRNA from 1 species
GCUUAAGCUUACCAUGAUGAUUGCAGAAGAGGAAGUACAAUGAGUACGGUAUGAAAUAGGUUGGCAAAGAACACAGAGUCGUUUUAAGGUCUAAAAACCCGACAGAACUCUUUCUUUCCAGGAAGCCUAUCCCUCUUUUUAUGUAUGAUACCAGUCGAGUACAAAAACGUAGCAACAAUUGCUUGUAAUUGGCCGUUUCCCUUCAUCGACAAAAUACGUUUCCAGCGAGAGAACAGGCUCAGACGGGAGCAGAGCCGAAAGGAGAUCCAUACGUUGAUCCAAUCAAAGAACUAGUGGAUCCCGAACAAGAGUUUGAUUCGUUUGUCUCGAAGGCCGUGGUCGAAGCAUUAAAAAAACUUCAAAAGGCUUUCGGCCAUGGGACGAGGGAGUGGCGAGGCGGGCCCCCGUCAAUAUUAUGUUUUUCGCCCCAUCAUCUUACACGUUUUUCGGUAUGAGAUAGGGGAUUGAACUACUUAAUCUUUGCCUGGAACCAAACCUUAUGAGUACUACCAAUCAGGCAGGAUUAAGGCCUUCCAUGGCUUUCGACGCUCUCGGGUGACGUUGAAGUGAAAUACCACUCCAGUAGCUUGAACAACUCCGGGAACAGGAUUUCUCCUCAAGGCAAAGUCAGUGUUCGCUGCGCUAGAACGAGCUGGUCGAGAGAUGCGCAGUGGGUAAAGUACUGCAACAGUUGGGUCUGGUUAUAGGUACCAUCCAUUCAAGACCUUGCCAAAACCGUCAUGGCCCAAUGUUGUAUAGGCCGUACCAAGCCAAUAGCGAAUAACAAACUCUUCCCUGCUCCCUCGACCUUAAUUAACUCCCAUCCUACCAGAGAAAGAAAUUGCUUUCUCUGGCCCGAUGAAAAAAAAAACAUUUUCUUCGCUCAUUCGGCUUUGAUUGUGUAAUAGCUUCGUGAAUAGAAAGGUGGAAAGCCAGCCGAAUAAUAUUUUUUUAUACUGAGCGGAGAUUCCGAUGGGAAGAAGUUGCCUCUUUCUCGUUCGAGGGCAGGAGGACUUGUUUUUCACUAUUCUAAGACAGGACUUUCUUACCGCUCUUACCGCUGCUCGAAUUCUUUUCUAACCAACCGAUGUCGAUGUUUGGGAUCCGAACCAAGGCAUUCCGUCUGAUAUACGUACUGGUAUCACCCUGUGAAGCAAAGUCA